rnacentral:rRNA from 1 species
GUCGAGAAUCUUUCACAAUGGGGGCAACCCUGAUGGAGCGACGCCGCGUGGAGGAUAAGGUCUUCGGAUUGUAAACUCCUGUCAUGCGUGAACAAGGUUGCUUGGUUAAUACCUGGGCAAAUUGAUGGUAACGCAAGAGGAAGAGACGGCUAACUCUGUGCCAGCAGCCGCGGUAAUACAGAGGUCUCAAGCGUUGUUCGGAAUCACUGGGCGUAACGGGUGCGUAGGUGGCGUGGUAAGUCAGAUGUGAAAGCCCGGGGCUCAACCUCGGAACGGCAUCCGAUACGGCCAUGCUAGAGUACUGGAGAGGUGACUAGAAUUCUCGGUGUAGCAGUGAAAUGCGUAGAUAUCGAGAGGAAUACCAAAGGCGUAGGCAGGUCACUGGACAGUUACUGACACUGAGGCACGAAGGCCAGGGGAGCGAACGGGAUUAGAAACCCUAGUAGUCC